GAAUCUUUCUCUUUGGAACUAGAAAUAAAUUUUUAGCUAGAUUUCUGUUUUAUUCCUUCUUUUGUUGUGAUUUGUGCUUUCCUAAAGUAAAAGAUCAAAACAAGUACUUGCUAUAUACAAUCUUCAAUUUAAACUUUUGAGUGGCAGUCAGGAAUAGUUUUCAAAAGUUUCUGGUACAUUUCUGACUUUAGAAACCUGGGAUAGGAAUCCAUUGCCAUAUGCAUAUAUACUAUUUUCUGAGCCUCUUCAAAACAUGUUUGAGUGGGUUCCUGAAUGUUCCUGAUGAUAGUUUCUCUUGUUGAAUUGUCAAUGUUAAUCUGAAAAGGGAAAUUACAUGUAGAGCGUUAAGUAAGCACAAUUAAACAUGGACACGUAAAACGGGAAGGUUUCAUUUAUUCCCCCCUCCUUUUUAGUCCAGUAGGUAAUUUUGCUCACAGUGUUCAUAGAUAUCUAAAAAGAUUUAGC
rnacentral:lncRNA from 1 species